rnacentral:rRNA from 1 species
UCCCAGCUGUAAACGAUGCAGGCUAGGUGUUGGCGCGGCUACGUGCCGCUCUAGUGCCGCAGGGAAGCCGUUAAGCCUGCCGCCUGGGAAGUACGGCCGCAAGGCUGAAACUUAAAGGAAUUGGCGGGGGAGCACCACAAGGGGUGAAGCUUGCGGUUUAAUUGGAGUCAACACCGGAAAUCUCACCGGGGGCGACAGCAGGGUGAAGGCCAGAUUGAAGGUCUUGCCAGACAAGCUGAGAGGAGGUGCAUGGCCGUCGCCAGUUCGUGCCGUGAGGUGUCCUGUUAAGUCAGGCAACGAUCGAGACCCGCAUCCCCUGUUGCUACCAGCCAUAGAGCUGGGCACACUGAGGAGACUGCCGCCGACAAGGCG